rnacentral:pre_miRNA from 1 species
CUUAUACUCCCUCCAUUCUGAAUUACUUGUCGCAGGUAUGAAUGUAUCUAGAUGUAUUUUAGUUUUAGAUACAUUCAUUUCUACGACGAGUAAUUUGGAACGGAAGAAGUACGUG